GAGGGCCUACGGGGGGCAGCAGUAGGGAAUCUUCCACAAUGGGCGCAAGCCUGACCCAGCAACGCCGCGUGAAGGAAGAAGGCUUUCGGGUUGUAAACUUCUUUUGACAGGGAAGAGUAGAAGACGGUACCUGUCGAAUAAGCCACGGCUAACUACGAGCCAGCAGCCGCGGUAAUACGUAGGUGGCAAGCGUUGUCCGGAUUUACUGGGUGUAAAGGGCGUGUAGCCGGGUUGACAAGUCAGAUGUGAAAUCCUGCGGCUUAACCGCAGAACUGCAU
rnacentral:rRNA from 1 species